AAGAUUAUACUUUCAGGGGUCAUUGCUAUAGUUCUUUACUAUAGAAGUUUCUCUGAUCCUGUAGAGCACCCAAAACAUGAGGAGAAGCCAGAGCAUCCUCUCCUGAACAUGAAGCUGGUUCUAAGUGUUGCUUGUGCAACUGCCUUUUAUAAUUGAUGAUGGUUCUUCUCCUCCUUUGUAAGAGGGAAAGGGGAAGGAAGCUGUCUGAGUGG
rnacentral:snoRNA from 1 species